UACGAAGGGUGCAAGCGUUACUCGGAAUUACUGGGCGUAAAGCGUGCGUAGGCGGUUUGUUAAGUCCGCUGUGAAAGCCCUGGGCUCAACCUGGGAAUUGCAGUGGAUACUGGCAAGCUAGAGUGCGGUAGAGGAUGGUGGAAUUCCCGGUGUAACGGUGAAAUGCGUAGAGAUCCGGAGGAACACCAGUGGCGAAGGCGACACGCUGGGCCGUACCUGACGCUAAAGCGCGACAGCAUGGGGAGCAAACGGG
rnacentral:rRNA from 1 species